CCAGCAUCUUUCACUCAUUCAGCUUCAACCCCACACCAUGUUCUCUACAUCUCUGCUGCUGCUGCUGACCACUGUGACCUGUGUUCACAGUGUUGAACUGACCCAGCCUGGAUCCAUGGUCAUAAAUCCUGGCCAGUCGAUGUCCCUGACCUGUAAAGUUUCUGGAUAUUCACUGACUGACAGCAGCUACUGUACAGCCUGGAUACGGCAGCCUGCAGGAAAAGCUCUGGAGUGGAUUGGAAGGAUUUGUAGUGGUGGUGGCACUGACUACAGUGAUAAACUGAAAAGCAGGUUUGAAGUUACUAGAGACACGUCCAGCAGCACAGUGACCUUAAGAGGACAGAACAUGCGGACUGGAGACACGGCUGUGUAUUACUGCGCUCGAUAUCCACAGUGA